UUCACUACCUUCAGUUGUGAGUUUGCAAACAUAGCUAUGGAGUGGCACUUUUAUAUAGUGAUAUUUUGCGUGACAGCAGUUCUGGCUGACGAAGAAUGGCUGGAAGUGGCAACCGCGCAGGGUCCCGCAGGGUCAGAAGCACUCUAACGGAGAAUUGUACGCUUUCUACAAUAUACCCUACGCAACAGCUCCUAAGGGUGAAGACAAGUUCAAAGCACCUCUACCACCGCCAGUAUGGACCGAACCAUUUGAUGCUGUCAACGAAAAUAUAAUCUGUCCACAGAACGAAUGGGUACCUUCAUCAUUAGAACAAGGUCUAGUGAUGUCUGAAGAUUGUCUCAUAGCCAAUAUAUUUGUGCCUGAUACAAAUGAAACUAACCUGCCCGUAUUUGUUAAUGUGUAUGGCGGUGCUUUUAUUACUGGGUAUGGUGACGUAGUAAGAGGGACACAGCUGAUGAAGACAAAAGAUUUCAUCAUGGUGACGUUUAACUAUCGUCUCGGCAUUCACGGGUUCCUCUGUCUUGGCACUGAGGAUGUACCAGGCAAUGCGGGCUUGAAGGAUCAAGUGGCGCUGUUGCGCUGGGUUAAUGAAAACAUCGCUAACUUCGGCGGUAACCCUGAUGAUGUCACAAUUGCUGGUUUCAGUGCAGGUGGAGCAGCUGUCGACUUAAUAAUGCUGUCAAAGUCAGCAAAAGGAUUAUUUCACCGCGUCAUUCCUGAGAGUGGUGGAAACCUUUCUAUAUUUGCAAUCCAGAAAGACCCUAUCGAGAUUGCUAAGAUCCAUGCCAAAACCCUAAAUUUUACGAAUGUUGACGAUAUUUAUGCGUUAGAACAGUUUUACAAGACCACUUCAAUGGAACUUCUAACUUCACAUUCGUUUGCCAAUAGAACUGAUUCCACUCAUAUGUUUUCACCGUGUGUGGAACGUGAUAUAGACGGAGCAUUCCUAACAGAACCUCCACUGACUAUACUAAAGAAUGGUGACUAUGAUAAGCUACCUAUGCUGUAUGGUUUCGCUAACAUGGAAGGUCUUUUCCGCAUAGACAUGUUUGACAUUUGGAAAGAUAUGAUGAACACUAACUUUUCUGAGUUCUUAUCAGCGGACUUGACGUUUAAAACUGAUGAAGAAAGGGAAGAGGUGGCCAGUAAGGUUAAGAAGUUUUAUUUUGGCGAUGAGCCUGUCAAUAACGAUAAUAUUUUGUCAUAUGUAGACUAUUUUUCGGAUGUCCUCUUUACUCAUCCUAUACUAUGGUCGGCUAAAUUGCAAGUGGAGGCUGGCAAUGAUCAAGUUUACCUGUAUGAAUAUUCGUUUGUAGAUGAUAAUGUUUCUGUAGUGCCAUACACUGACGUGCGAGGUGCUAACCACUGUGCUCAGACAGCGGCUAUAAUGGAUGGUGAAGAUGAAAGUCUGGAAUCGCUGGAAUAUCAGAAUAUGAGGAAAAUAAUCCGUGAAAUGUGGCACAACUUUAUAACUACUGGAGCCCCUGUGCCCGCUGGGUCAUCGCUGCCUGCAUGGCCAGCCUUAGGCGAGAACAUGUUACCACACAUGCAGCUGAUUGAGAAGCCGGUACUGCGCGGAGUACUCCUGGAAGAACGCUCUCGCUUCUGGGACGAGAUCUUCGAGAAAUACUACCGAGAUCCAGUUCCACCAACCGACCCCAACUCUUCAGAACGCCGAUACCAAUAUUGAUACGCCACUGCCAUCAUUGAUACCGAUAGUGAACCAUACAAACUUAUAUUUGGACCCUCAAGACACAGGCUGUAGCUUAGUUUGAGGGUCAUUGCCAAACUUUGUUGUAAUUCUUUUUUGAUGAAUAAAUAAUUUUGAAUUUAA